UACAGAGGUCUCAAGCGUUGUUCGGAUUCAUUGGGCGUAAAGAGUGUGUAGGCGGUGUUCUAAGUCUGUUGUGAAAUCUCCCGGCUUAACUGGGAGGGUGCGGCGGAGACUGGAAUGCUAGAGUGUGGGAGAGGUAAGCGGAAUUCCUGGUGUAGCGGUGAAAUGCGUAGAUAUCAGGAGGAACACCUGUGGUGUAGACAGCUUACUGGACCACGACUGACGCUGAGACACGAAAGCGUGGGUAGCAAACAGG
rnacentral:rRNA from 1 species